UCCUUUACGAUCCUUCUUUUUCCACUCUCCUCCUCUCCUUACGAUCUUCCUUCUUCUUCUUUCCUCUCUCUUCUUCUCCUUCCUUCUCUUCUAAACUCUUCUACAUCUUAAUCUUCUUCGUUUUCGUCUCAGCCUUCCAUGAAGUUUACCGACGUGAGUGAGAAUGCGAGAAACAUACUCAUCAACCUCAUUCAAUGCAAUCUCGCUUAAAAAGUUGGAAUAGGACGCCGGACGGUCGGAGUUCGCCGUGGUUUUCACCGUGGCCGUCACAGUUACAGCCAGAGCCGCAGCCGCUCAGCUCAUUUCUUUGCAAAACCCUAAAAAAUUUAUUGGAUUGGGCUUUUGAUUGUAUGUUGGGUUUUGUUAAUUGUAUUGGGCUUUUGUAUUAUUUGUAAUGGUUUAGUUUUAUUAGAUUUGUGUUUCUAAUUGAGUAAUUGUUUAAUUGUUUAA